rnacentral:rRNA from 1 species
GAUGAACGCUGGCGGCGUGCUUAACACAUGCAAGUCGAGCGAAGCACUCUGGAAGAUUCCUUCGGGAUGAUUCCUUAGUGACUUAGCGGCGGACGGGUGAGUAACGCGUGGGCAACCUGCCUUGUACAGGGGGAUAACAGUUAGAAAUGACUGCUAAUACCGCAUAAGCACACAGCAUGGCAUCAUGCAGUGUGAAAAACUCCGGUGGUACAAGAUGGGCCCGCGUUGGAUUAGCUUGUUGGUGGGGUAACGGCCCACCAAGGCGACGAUCCAUAGCCGGACUGAGAGGUCGAACGGCCACAUUGGGACUGAGACACGGCCCAGACUCCUACGGGAGGCAGCAGUGGGGAAUAUUGCACAAUGGAGGAAACUCUGAUGCAGCGACGCCGCGUGAGUGAUGAAGUAUUUCGGUAUGUAAAGCUCUAUCAGCAGGGAAGAAGAUGACGU